CUGAUGACAAUCCAACACUUUAUCCUAAACGCCCCCACUGACUCGGCUCAGCCCACAGGAUGGAUCACGCCUGAAACAGAUGUCCUGGCUUCCCCGGGCCAAGGAAUCUCAGCCCCUCCCAGUAGAUGAGACACUUCAUCCCUUGGACACCAGAAGCAUCUUCCGGAUUUCAUCAGGCAAGUAUGCUUCCAGCCUGGAUUUCUCACACAGCAGAGGAAGGGUUUCAAGAAGGAGAGCAAAUGGUGCAUAUUGUCACUUCUUCUGCAUUCCGUUGGCCAAUGCAAGUCACAAGUGGGAAAAGAGGUGCCAUCUCUGGAUGGAUGAAGCAGCAAAGUCGCAUUGCGAAGGCGCACUCAGUAUGAACGGGUUCCGUGACUUUCUCCUGAGCAAACCUGUGCAGAAGGAUGAAAGGCUUUCUCCCCAGCUGUCAACAAGUACAAUUCAUUAAGGAACAUUUACAUGCACAGAGGAAAGGGAGCAUAAAUUCUCCCACCCUGAAGGAGACAGAACAAAAGUCAUUGCAAAGAUCAGGCAAAGGAGACAUUUGGAGAAUUUUAUUCUGUCUUACCAGAAUACGCAAGAAUGCCCUGAAAGACAGAAAUAAGAGCUUCAUUAGAAUCUCCUUAACAACCAAAAGAGAUGGAGGAAGUCAACAACUGAGGGUGAGGAGAGCUCUCUGCUGACAAGGCCACGUAUCCAGGUCCUUCCUGCUCCAUGGCAAGCACAGGCUGGAUGGAAGGCUUCCGUGGAUGCUUUGGGAGCGAAGUUGCCUGGAGAACCCACAAACUCAGGAGCUAGCAACAAAUUCCAGGACUUUCUAUAACCCAUUAAACACACUUGAAAGUGA
rnacentral:lncRNA from 1 species